UACGGGGGGAGCAAGCGUUGUUCGGAUUUACUGGGCGUAAAGGGCGCGUAGGCGGCCACCGCAAGUCGACUGUGAAAUCUCCGGGCUUAACCCGGAAAGGUCAGCCGAUACUGCGGGGCUAGAGUGCAGAAGGGGCAACUGGAAUUCUCGGUGUAGCGGUGAAAUGCGUAGAUAUCGUAAGGAAGACCAGUGGCGAAGGCGACUACCUGGCCUGUUUCUUGACGCUGAGGCGCGAAAGCUAGGGGAGCAAACGGG
rnacentral:rRNA from 1 species